GAUGAAGAACGUAGCGAAAUGCGAUAAGUAAUGUGAAUUGCAGAAUUCAGUGAAUCAUCGAAUCUUUGAACGCACAUUGCGCCCCUUGGUAUUCCGAGGGGCAUGCCUGUUCGAGCGUCAUUAUAACCCCUCAAGCUCAGCUUGGUGUUGGGGCCUGCUGCACUGGCAGCCCUUAAAAUCAGUGGCGGCGCCAUCUGGCUCUAAGCGUAGUAAUUCUUCUCGCUAUGGAGUCCUGGUGGAUGCUUGCCAUCAACCCCCAAUUUUUCUAUGGUUGACCUCGGAUCAGGUAGGAUACCCGCUGAACUUAAGCAUAUCAAGAAGCGGAGGA
rnacentral:misc_RNA from 1 species